rnacentral:rRNA from 1 species
UAACACGUAUGCAACCUACCCUUAACUGGGGAAUAACCCUGUGAAAGCGGGGCUAAUACCCCAUAACAUUAUGGUAAGGCAUCUUACUAUUAUCAAAGAUUUAUCGGUUAGGGAUGGGCAUGCGCCCCAUUAGUUAGUUGGUUAGGUAACGGCUAACCAAGACUGUGAUGGGUAGGGGUUCUGAGAGGAUUAUCCCCCACACUGGUACUGAGACACGGACCAGACUCCUACGGGAGGCAGCAGUAAGGAAUAUUGGGCAAUGGACGCAAGUCUGACCCAGCCAUGCCGCGUGCAGGAUGACGGCCUUAUGGGUUGUAAACUGCUUUUGUAUGGGAUUAAAGUGUUGUACGUGUACGACAAUGCAAGUACCAUACGAAUAAGCAUCGGCUAACUCCGUGCCAGCAGCCGCGGUAAUACGGAGGAUGCAAGCGUUAUCCGGAAUCAUUGGGUUUAAAGGGUGCGUAGGUUGAUUAUUAAGUCAGUGGUGAAAAUUCCGGGCUCAACCCGGGACUUGCCGUUGAAACUGAUAAUCUUGAGUGUAACUGAUGUGGGCGGAAUGUGUCAAGUAGCGGUGAAAUGCAUAGAUAUGACACAGAACACCGAUAGCGAAGGCAGCUCACAAAAUUACAACUGACACUGAGGCACGAAAGCGUGGGUAUCAAACAGGAUUAGAUACCCUGGUAGUGCACGCUGUAAACGAUGAUCACUAGCUGUUUGCGAUACAUUGUAAGUGGUUAAGCGAAAGCGAUAAGUGAUCCACCUGGGGAGUACGUCGGCAACGAUGAAACUCAAAGGAAUUGACGGGGGCCCGCACAAGCGGAGGAGCAUGUGGUUUAAUUCGAUGAUACGCGAGGAACCUUACCUGGGCUUGAACGUAUGGUGCAUGAGUGUGAAAGCACUCUUUCCUUCACAGGACUUCAUACGAGGUGCUGCAUGGUUGUCGUCAGCUCGUGCCGUGAGGUGUUAGGUUAAGUCCUGCGACGAGCGCAACCCCUGUUUUCAGUUGCCAGCAGUGUUAUGCUGGGCACUCUAGAAAGACUGCCUGCGCAAGCAGAGAGGAAGGUGGGGAUGACGUCAAAUCAGCACGGCCCUUACGUCCAGGGCUACACACCUGCUACAAUGGUCGGCACAGAGGGUGGCUACCCGGCAACGGGAUGCUAAUCUCCAAAGUCGAUCU